rnacentral:rRNA from 1 species
CAAUAGCGUAUAUUUAAGUUGUUGCAGUUAGAAAGCUCGUAGUCGGAUUUUGGCUGAGAACGAUCGGUCCGCCGUUAGGUGUGCACUGAUUGGUCUCAGCUUCCUGGUGAGGAGGUGUGCUUCACGGCCACUUAGUCACCGUGGUUACUUUGAAAAAAUUAGAGUGUUCAAAGCGGGCUUACGCUUGAAUAUAUUAGCAUGGAAUAACACCAUAGGACUCCUGUCCUAUUUCGUUGGUCUCGGGACGGGAGUAAUGAUUAAGAGGAACAGUUGGGGGCAUUCGUAUUUCAUUGUCAGAGGUGAAAUUCUUGGAUUUAUGAAAGACGAACUUCUGCGAAAGCAUUUGCCAAGGAUGUUUUCAUUGA